GAUUGAAGCCGAAUCUGAUGACGUCGGAGUUAAAUACUUUUUUCUUGAUCCGCUGCCUAUGCUAUCUGAUCUUGGAAGAACUACAGGCUUUUUUGCUCUGUGCUUGGAUCCAUCUGCAUCCUAUUCAAAAAUAUAUAUUGUCGAAGUUGCGAAGAAAUGGUAAUGCUGUUGGAUCUGACAGAAACUCACUCCGCUGGCUCUGAUCUUCUUUAAGCAACCCUCCAGCCAAUUCCUAAUUGUUUGUUUAGCCACUUCUUCUUCGAUGAUGUACUCAAACUCCUCUCUCGCCAACAAUUCUUCCAGUUGAAGAGCUUUUCGAAUGUCGACCGACCGGUAUGAUAACAUACUGCAAAAAGUAUUAUACGAAUAGAAGACAAUGUUCCAGACAAUGAAGUACAGACGUACCCGUUUCACCGGAAUGACACCCUUCUGAUGAUUAUCAACCACGUUCCAGGUGUUUUGGAAAUUCCUAAUGUCGGCGUAUGAAAGUAAGGCGUCCUCCUCGUUCGAGUAAAAUAGAGAGAAGUUCUCCAUGAUAAUAGCUGUUACGCAAAAAUUAGUUCGCAUUUCAUGAAGUCAAGCCUGCAAGGAACCUACGGCAUUGCUGCCCGAUAGAUUAGUCGGUACUUACCUACCAGGAGAUUCAAGACAAUAAUAAUUGGCGAUUACAACACCAACGAACAAAGUCAAACCGAUCAUACACCCCAGAAAGAUAUAGAUGUGGAUAUAAAUGGCGUGGACCUAAAAAAUUAUUGUACAGCAUCAUCGCCAUGGUUAUAUGUCGCCUUACGAAGUCAUUUGUGACUCCGCGGUGAGAGUAAACUUACGGGACCGAGAGCCUUGAUCAGAACAUCUCUAACGUCGAGCCAUCCUUUAAAUGAGAGCACCUCGAAAAGCGCCAUCAAUGCAUCACCGAUAUGGUCGAAAUUAAAUCGCCUAGGAUUCGCCCUAAAAUAUUUCACAACUGUCCGUUUAAAAGUAUUCUUCGAUCUUCGGACGACGAUUUCAUACUGCAAUGCCUACCAAACGCGUGGCACUAGUAUAGAUGGAUAGCUCUCGUUUUGGCCCGGUCGUAAUUUCAUUUUCGUCACGAACACCCUUCGCAUGAACACACCGACACAAUCUUCCCGUUUUAGAAUAGUUGGAUCGUUACAACGAGCUAAUCUACCACCAUAAAGCUGUACACCGUAACUCGCAAAUAUGAACAUCAAGAGGAUCAACAGAGUAGACACCUAAAAAGCUUCUUAUUCAUUUUUUGUCUGAACUUCUCGCAUACAGUACCCAUCAAGAUCAAUUGAAGGAUUCGUAAUCCAAGCAGCUCACAUUCAACUUUAAUAUUUUAUUCAAAAAUUGAAGCUAAAUAAUUUGAUGAUCGUUUAACAAAUUAUUCGAUAACUGUUGCAAACUUUUAUAACUUCUUUCGAGCGAUUACCAAUGAAUUUAUUAUCUGUUAACAGGUGUCGACUAACGCUUAAAGCGUUAGACAGACAAAUUUCGAAUGUCUUUGCAACAUUGUUACGAAUUCCUCGAUGGAUACCCUUGGAUCAACUUGAAUGGACUUUAUGCCGAGAUUAUUUACCAAUAAGAUCUCUUUGAAUCCUCUACACAAUUCGUACACAACCUUCCUCAUGUGCGGCACAAGCGUGAAUAUUCUCAGCGGCCUGACGCAACGUAAGAUCAUUAAGAGUUGAGCGCUGGAGUUGGGCGGCACGCUUUUCGGCAUCCAGCAAAGGAAUACGAGACUGACCUGGAUGAUCGUCAAAUUAGCAGCGUAACGAAUCAGAAAGAAAACGAAAAGAUCAGAGAGUAUCAAUGACAUUGGAUGCAAACGUACGACGUAAAUAAAAACGUCCAAAACAGAGGCAACGUCUUUGAUGUAGGCCUUAGGCGUAAAAAAUAAUCCAUCCGCUAAGAUCUUGAGCGCCAAUUCGAUGCUCAUGAAGAUAACGAAACCGUACUCGGCGAUUUGCAGCACGGGUACCUCCAUAACGCGGUAACGUGGUGUUUCGAACAUCAUGGAGAUGCAAGACAUGGUCGUGGCAAAGAUCAUCACCCAAUCUAAGUACGUGACCAAGCCAAGGAAGUUGCUAAAAAGCGUGUGAUUAAAUUCGCCAUUGUUAAUUCAUGUCUGACUUUGGAUGUUCAAGCAGUGCUCUACGGUCGUGUCAAAAAGAAGCAGCCACAGAGUUAAAACAAAAGCACUUACUGCAGGCUCUUGUACUGAACUUUCCUCUCUUUGCCGGUCAACGGGUCUUUCGCAUUCGUAUCGUAUCUCGCGUAGACGAGCGACUGACAAAUUUUCCGAAAUUUGCUCUCGCGCGGCACCACGAAUAACGGCGUGUCGAAAAACGGAUGAUUCUCGCGCAAAUCCUCCUCGCGUUGAUUUCUACAUUAGGUGCAGCGUGAUGAACGUUAAGUCACAAAGACGUGGUAGAAGUGGUUUAUCGCUAAUAGACGGUGCAAUAAUAUGUUGCUUUACCUGCGCAUCUCGGCCUGCUGCCGCUUAGCUUGCAGUAAUUUAAUGUCCAAAUCAUGCGGUCUACUGCGAGAAGAACUCACUCUGUUUAUACCUCCAAUGUCACCGUUCUCCAUUAGGUGCUCGUACGUUUGCUUUAGCUUGAUGGAACCGCUACGAACACUUCUCCUGAUCGACCUGUUAUCAAAUACAAAGAAAUGUUAAUAUAUUAACUAUUACCGAUUACUUAAAAGUUGCUUGGCACUGUUAACAGUACCUUGAGGCUUCAACAGACUUUUUCCUGGUACCGGUAUCAUGGCAGAAUCGCCUAACAGAAGCCUUUGAUUGUUCGAAUCACUGUGAAAAAAAGUAAGGAUUAAUAAGUAUUAAAAGGUAAGAAUUAAUGUAUUACAAUUAUUGAGGCUUAUAUAUAUACUUUAUAAUGUAAGUAACAGCUGCUUUUUUAAGGCUAGUAACGACGUUCCGGACUUUCGGUGGAUUGUUUAAAAUCUUGACUGGACGUUGUUUUCUGUAUAUCAUUUUCGAAUCAAAUGUUUCGUUUACUUUUUUCACGCCUUCGUUCUCUUCGUUUUCCAUUUCGAAAACAAACUGUCGCAUGAAACUUUCACGCACCUGGUUUAGAAGAAUAUGAUAUUUAGUUAUUUGUUUCACAAUAAAAAAUUUAAAUUCAGAAAUUAUAACUCUGACCUUUGGAAGAUUGAAAUCCGAUGGUACUUUAUGCAAGCAUGUCAUUUGAGGACUGUCCGGAAAUUUUUCAAAAAUUCUCAACCUAAAUGGUAAAGUUUCUUUUAUCUCUGCGCUUUGCUCGCGAAAUUUCAGUUGCUUUAGUUUCUUAAUGUCCUCGUCCAAUUCGAGAUUAUCCAAUAUAACUGCGACGAACAGACUCAACACAAUCUUGAAAAGUAGAUAAGAGGUCAGUGCAUGACUAUCAUGUGAUCAAAUGAUUAUAAGAGUAAUUUUUACCAGUGUGACAAAAAGAUGGUAUAAAAUGAAGUAAACAGCUACAAAGGGUGCCAUCGUUUCAUGUGUUCGUAGCAUUGUUUCGUCCAUAACUUCGACCCAAGCUUCUUGCGUGAGAAUUUGGAACAUAGACAUAAAUGCCUGCAAGAGAAUUACUUCAUUAUUUUCAUAAGAACAAUGCAUGAUUUAAUGUACAUUACCUCGGGAAAGGUUUCGAAUUUCGUGAAGUCACAGAGAAAACAGAACAAUUGCAUAGAGAUGCUGGACGAUAUAACCAACAGGCACAUGGUGAAAAUAAUGAGGCUACCAAGCUUCUUCCCAGGCCCGAAUAUUUUGUACACAAAGUCCUCCAACAUUGGAGACGCUUUGAUUAGCCUGACUACUCUCAAAACCUAGUUUUGAAAGAACUUUCCAUUAAUUUACUGAUAUGUACUUUAAUUUCUUAUUUUCUGUUUUAGAAUGAAAUCGAAUGAAAAUUAAAGUAGAAACCUGAAAAUAUGUGAAUCCAGAAAGAUAGAAGAACGGAAUGAUGUGUAUGGUUGUACCAAUUGUCAGCAGCAGCUCGAAUUUGUGUAUCGAAUGCUUGUAAUAACUGCGGAAUCCGAGGCACCAUAUUUUAAACACCGUUUCGAGGUCCAAAAAUAUCGUAAAAGCAAUCUCGGCGUAAUAAUAAUUGUUGUAGUAAGUGUAUCUUGGUUUCUCAUCAUGCUUGAAACUCAUUGUCGCAGUGGUAAUGGCGUUCGCCAAUAUUGCGCACAUUACCACCAUUCGGAAGUGAGGAGAUCUGAGGAUGGCGUGACAUACAGGAGAUGCUAGACCACCGUGUUUGUUUUCGUCUAAAGUUACCAAACUCCAGCCAUUAUCGUCACCGGUUAAUAUCUGCAACAUUAUAUAUACAUUCAUACUUUGGAUUAUGUACUUGUAAAAACAAGUUGUCCGUCUACUAACUUGUGAAGCGGUACUAUUGCUGAUAUGUCCUCUGACACCCCACAUUUGCUGAAACUGUACUCGUAUCUCAUUAAAAGUCUCUGUGAUAACGGCAAUGAAAACGUUCUUCACAAGCCACGCUAAGAAAAAUAUCAUUGUACUGAAGUAAAGGACUGCACGCCAGGCUGGGAGACUGUCUAUAGCACGAUACAUAAUGAAAACCCAACCCUCUUGCGAUGCAGCUUGAUAGACAGUAAAAAUACUUGUAGCUGUAAAGAACAAAAGAUUUCUAUAGCUGUCGAUUGUCGAUGAUACAACUAAAUAUUUUAACGCUUGAUGUACAUCAUUACCAAAUUCAUCAAACCCGUUGAAACCCAUGAUAUACUUCGACAAUCCGAGUUUCAUACAGGUCAUUCCUUCUGGACAUUGAUAUCCUGAUUCAGGAUCAGUCGAGCAGAAUGUAUCUGGAAUGGCUAGACUAUUUAUAGUUAUGUGCUUUGGAUGGGUUGUGUUGAGAACGCAGUGGUUUUUCAAUUCUCCAAAAAACUGAACACCCAGCAGGCCGUAUAGGGACAUGAAGAACAAGAAGAAAAGUGUUACAUUGUAUAUUUGUUGGCUUGAACGUCUGAAAAAUAUAAAUGAACAAUCUUUCGGCAUGGAGAACUUAAGGAAGACUCUCAGGAAGCGUAUCAUAAUUAAAGGUCUUGGUGCCCGUAAUAUUGAAAAAUAGCUAAAUUUCAAAACGAAUCCUAACAUUUCGAACAUCUGUAAAAUUACGGACAACCAGAGGAAGACAACCAUACUCCCAUCAAAUUGGCACCAAUGGUCUUUCAAGUAAGAUUUGUCCUUCUGCAAUAAAAUAUUCAAUAUUUAACGCCGAGCUUGUAAACAUGAUCCAUACGAGCCAUGACGUUCAGUUACCUUCAGUAUACCUCUAAUGUGCAUCUUUGCAAUCAUUUCUGCGGUAAAUAAAAACGUAACGACUAAGUCAGAAACGAAGGUAACAUAUUGAAGGGGCGGAAUGUUUUCAAAAGUCUUUGGAGUAUUCAAGCAAACCGAAAUUAAUGAUACCAGGGCGCAAAACCUCAUCAAUCUUCUAACCCACAGCUGAAACAAAUAAAUAAAUAUUAUCGUAUCUAAUAAACAUUAGAUAAACUUGA